CGUACGAAAGUCUCCGUAAUCUGCACAAAGACAUUGUACGACGGGGACGUGAGGCUUAUACAACCUGGCUACUUCGGGUCUGGGAUCUUAUGGGUACAGGUGUCCAGCUGGAUGGUGGUGAGGCAAGGAAUUUGGCACCCUUGACCCAGGACUCAGGUAUCAAUCAGAUUUUUGUAAGGGAGCCAGGGUCCCUUUCCCUCUGGGAGCGGCUUUUAAUAAGUGUCAGAGAGAGGUUUGUUCACAGGGAAAGAAUGCAGGAGCACCACCAUAGAAUGCGCUGGAAGACUCUUGAGGAAGGGAUCCAACAGCUGAGAGAAGUGGCAGUGUUGGAGGUACUUUUUGGGAGGGAUGGACAGCAUGAUAAUGACCCCGACAAAGUCAGGUGCACGGGGCAAAUGUUGUGGAGCCUGGCAAAUCUAGGGCCAUCCCAAUACACCACCUUUAUUGCAACAAUUAAUGCUGACACCAACCGAGAGACAGUGGGUUCUGUGGCCAACAAGCUUAGGAAUUAUGAAAGUAUGAUUAAUGGCCCGAUGCAGGCUCAUGUCUCUGCCGUAGUCCAAGAACUCAGAGAGGAGAUGAGGGAGAUGAGGGAGGAGGUGAGGAGGAACAGUUCCCAUAUGGCACCAGUGCGAGUCACAGGCCCCAGAGUCAGAGUCCAACGUUCCCCAACUACAGAGAGAGGGUACACCCCACGAGCUGACCUGUGGUUUUUCCUGCGUGAUCAUGGGGAAGACAUGGGAAGGUGGGAUAGAAAACCCACUUCUGUCCUGGCAGCACGAACGGGCCAACUCAAGGAGGGAAACACUAAUCGAGGGAACUCCAGUAAAGUGAAGGUAGCCUCAACCUCCCAUGACCGAGCUGCUGAGUAUGAUCUGUCAGAUCCCCUGGAAGGUACCUCUACCAUGUAUACCCAGGGUUAGAGGGGCCCUGCCUCUAGCCAGGGAGAGGUACGGGAAAACCGGAUUUUCUGGACGGUGUGGAUCCGAUGGCCUGGCACAUCAGAACCACGAAAGUACAAUGCCUUAGUUGAUACUGGUGCGCAGUGUACCCUAAUACCAUCGGGACAUGUGGGGGCAGAACCCAUUUCCAUUGCCGGGGUG
rnacentral:lncRNA from 14 species